AUUCUACUCCCUACAUUGCACAAUACAUGCCUUCUAUUUGUCAAAAUAUAUAUGUAUCUAGACAUGUCUUAGUAUAUAGGUACAUCCAUUUUAGGACAAAUGGAAGUCAAGUAUUUUGGAACGGAGGGAGUACACA
rfam:Triticum aestivum genome assembly, contig: Triticum_aestivum_CS42_TGACv1_scaffold_093187_2AL